rnacentral:rRNA from 1 species
UGAGGAUGGCGGACGGGUGAGUAACGCGUAAGGAACUUGCCUCUUGGACUGGGACAACUGUUGGAAACGACAGCCAAUACCGGAUAUUAUGAGAUUCUCGCAUGAGAAACUUAUGAAAGCUAUAUGCGCCAAGAGAGAGCCUUGCGUUCCAUUAGCUAGUUGGUGGGGUAACGGCCCACCAAGGCGACGAUGGAUAGCCGGCCUGAGAGGGUGAACGGCCACAAGGGGACUGAGACACGGCCCUUACUCCUACGGGAGGCAGCAGUGGGGAAUAUUGGACAAUGGGCCACAAGCCUGAUCCAGCAAUUCUGUGUGCACGAUGAAGGUCUUCGGAUUGUAAAGUGCUUUCAGUUGGGAAGAAGAAAGUGACGGUACCAACAGAAGAAGCGACGGCUAAAUACGUGCCAGCAGCCGCGGUAAUACGUAUGUCGCAAGCGUUAUCCGGAUUUAUUGGGCGUAAAGCGCGUCUAGGCGGAAAAAUAAGUCUGAUGUUAAAAUGCGGGGCUCAACUCCGUAUUGCGUUGGAAACUGUUUUUCUAGAGUACUGGAGAGGUGGGCGGAACUACAAGUGUAGAGGUGAAAUUCGUAGAUAU